rnacentral:lncRNA from 1 species
CGCCAUGUUGCGGCGCUUGGGGCGGGCGGCGGUGCGCGCCGCGCUCAGCGCCUCAGCGCCUCCACAGCAGCGCCCGGCGCCGCGCCACGCGUGCACCGCACCGCCGGACAGCGUGGGGCGGCUGCAGCCGUCGCAUUACCGCCUGGUGUACACCUGCAAGGUGUUGCACAUCAGCAGCUGAUUGCAGUGCUCUUGGAGGUGCAUGGCAUGGCAGCUGAGCAGAAGAGGCAAUUGGGACCACCUGAGGACAUGGCCCUGACCACAGGGGAGGCGGAUCUUUCUGGGAAGAAAGGAAAAAGCCUGCUGGAGCUGCGUUAUGAUGAGCACCAGUGAUGCCCAAGCCUGGAACAGCAGAGCAUGGUACAAGCUAGGUGGGUAUAUACGUGGCUGUGCACAUCCUCCUGCCUGAUCUCCAGCUCUCUACCUGGCCCAGGAAGGAGGCAGAGGUUCAGCUCAGCCUUCUGUGCAGCAGGAAACACAUCUGCUUCAGCAGAACUCAUUACUGGAGUUUCUGAAGUCCAGGACAGCCUCUCUGGUCAAGCAUUCCGCCUCCUGAAGUUUGAUCUCUGCUGUCCUCCUCUCUGGGUGUGCAUUUCCAACUUUACCGAAAGGGAUGAAAGUAAAUGUAGACCCUUGCACUUGUGUACAGGGUGAAACUGACCUCCCAGUAACAAUCCCAGCCUGGAGCUGUUGCCAAGGCUCCAUUUCUUGCUGGUGUGGGACCAGACGAUGUGCGGAAUAAGGACUGCCUUGCUGAGAGCAGGUCUGCUGGGGCACAGAGCAGCACAGCACUGAUUUCUUUCAGGAGAAAGAAGGGGAGGGAAGUGCUAUUGUCCUCCGUUGCCAGGUGCAGGAGAUAGUUCUGCUUGCUCUCAUGACAAGCCAUGGCCAGAAAACUUUGCUGGCUCACAAAGCAGGUCAGUGCCAGAUGCAGGUUUCUGCCUUAGGCAUGCUGGACCGUCCCGUGUGCAGCUGAACCAGGAGCCUCACCAGAAACAAUUAGUUCAGCUAAGUUUGAUUGAUGAGCAGAAGACUUUCUUCCUUCUUUGCAAGGUCUCCAUAUCCCACUAAAGUUAAAGAGGGAGAGCUCCAGCUCCUGCUUUGGAGCUUCUGGCACAACUCUGUACAGGAGCAGCUGAGGAAGUGGAGGGGACAACAUACAGCUCUCACUGCAGAGUUUAGAGCAACCCCAGAACAAACUUCAACGGAAAAAACAAAACUGGUGAAGAUGUUCCAGGAAAUGAUCCAGAACAAUUUGUGUCAUCUCAUGACGCAGAUGUGACUGCAAAAAUGUCCCUUUCCCUAUUAAAAGUAUUUUAGAAAUAAAGAAGAUCGAGGCUGCAUUUAACUACCUGCUCUAGGCUCCUCCUUCAGCUGACAGUGUGAGUUCCUGGAGUUUUAGGUGACAAGCAAAAGGACUGCCAAGGUCUUCUUCCCUUGAGCUGUGCCCAUUGUUACAGAGGCUGCAUCUCCUAAAAAACCCUUGUUUAAAAGCCAUCCCCUCCUCUGAACACCAGGUGCAGUGCAGUUGAGGUGCAGAUCCUGGGAGAAGUCUGGUGGUGCAGGAGCACUCUGUUUGAAACCACCUACACUUAAGUUCUUUUUGAAAAAACAAAUGAAACCAAAACAAACCCCCCAAAUCAACCCCGGUUCUUAGCUGGAACCAGGCCUUUGCUGCUCCUCUUCUGCCUCCUCUUGUGCUGAGGCCAGGUCUACCCUCUGCUCAUCCAUGCGUUUGGCCUGGACCCGCUGGAUGAGGCUGAAGAAAUCCUCAUCUGGCAUGGUGGGACCACGGGGGAUGGAGUCUGGUGGUGCACAGCGCUGGUCGUCUAUCCUGGAGGACUACAGGGGAAGAGCAGGGGUUAGGGCUGCGUGCUGACAGCCUGCAGGUGGGCAGCUGCUGCCCACAGCCCACAGCCAGCCUGGUGAGAGCAAGGGGGCAUUGCUUGCUGAUGGCGGAGAAAGUAGCCUAUCCCUCCCUCCUGCUCAGCCCUGCUGUACCUGACACUUCAUCAGCAUGUUGAAGAACUCAUCCCCAGGCUCCUGGGCGUCCCCCUCCAUGCACAGGUGCCCCAGGUUGUUGUGUGUUAUCCGCAGGCCUGGCAGGUUGCCCACAUUGGCACGCUGGUCAUCCAGCCGUCUGCUCUGCGAGCUGGCGAUGAGAUCGAAGAACUCCUCCGUCUGUGGGGAUGCCAUCAGGGAGGAGUGUGCUGGGAGGGGGGAGAGGAGCACACCAGGGUCACAUCUCUGCUCACCACAGAGUCUUCUCAAGUUCUCACCAACAGACUUAAGCCCCUGUUUGAGAAGCCUCCCAGGGCUGAGCUGGGUAGGACCCCAGCUUCUGUGACCAGCACCAUUCCCUUCCACCCUGUGCAAUAAGCAGGAACAAUCCCAGUGCCAACAACGCAAGCAAGCAAAAACCUACCACCAAAGCAGAGACCCAAGCAUGCAACCACUCACACCCUUCUCUAGUGCCUCUGCUGCAUUGCCUAGUAUGUAGGGUAAGGCAGAGACCUUGGCAGGAUGCUGCUGCUGCCUUGGUUUCCACCCUGGUGCAGGCAGCAGCAGUUGCAGGUGAGUGUACAGUUCCUGUGCACUGCUGUGGUUCCUUACUGGACACUGCACAUGGUGCCAAGGGCUGGGUAUAAUUGCAGGCAUGUAAUGUGCAAAGCCAAGGCCUGACUAAGCCACCCAUCCCAGCAAUGCCCCAGCCAGGGCAGCACGCAAUGCAUGGGGCCUCCUGGCUCCUAGCAGCUGCUGGGCAGCAAAACAUUCACACAACAAGCACUGCACUUGGGAUGGGGACAAGCAAGGGGAGCUGUAAGAAAUCCAGCCUGGUGGGCAUCGCCUCAGGGAGCACAAAGCACAUGAGGGUCCCCCAAGAUCCUGACACUGCUGCUCUGACAGCCCCAGCUCCUGGAGUUGUAGGAAUGCACAGUAACUGCAGCACUGACAAAGAAACUUCAAACAACGCGUCCAAAAAGCUCAGAGACCAAGUGAUGGAUGAACAGAAAGCAUGCCUACUUGAACGCUCUUAAUAAAGCUCCAUACUCAAACUCACCCUUAAGUCACACAGCUGUUACAGCCAAAUGCAUUUCUACAUCAGAAACACAUCUUGAAAAAGCGAUGUUCAUUUCCACCUUAUUUUUAGCCCAGAAGAAAUGGCUCACCUGGGAGCACACAGCAGGACCUGCACACCCCAGCACUUCGCUCCUGUUUGCUUUAAUCAGAGCACCUCAACACGCUGUCAUCAAAACAGACGCAAACCCGAAGCGCAGACACAGCCCUGGCCUGCCUUCCCCAUCCCAUCUAUUUGUCAGAUGGUUUCCUCCAUUUAUCCCUGUUCUUCCCACAAGCAAAGCUUGCUGUCUGCACACCCGGAGCUUCCUCUUGUUUAUCCAUCCGCCCUGCUGCCUUCUCUGUCCUUACGCAACACCUAUCACUGCAGCAUCCAACAACUGGACAAAACCCAGAAGUUUUUCCACUGUGGUCACACAGAACGCCCAGCAGUACCUUCCCCUCCUGCCAGAGCCCACCCGGGCCAUUGCACAGCAGCACCACGCAGCCGGCCAUGCCGUGGGAGCAGCACGACCCGGAGUCACAGCGACUUAUCAACACCUCCACGCUUACGUAUCCGUUCUUCCAGGGCUGGGACUGGUGUGGCUGCUGCCUCCGCAGCCUCCGACGGGCACUCCUCCAGCGGGCAGCGCUGAUCGUCCAUCCGGUUGCUCUGGAACUUGCUCAGCAGGUCAAAGAAGCAUUCCUCAUCCGAAGGGGUCCGGUUGAUCUUCUGCAAAGACAAUAAAACACAAAAGAGUCAGCACGUCCCAACCGCCUCUCACCGCGUGGCCUCGGCAAUGCUCCCACCCUGCCCUGCCCAGAGCUGGGCUCCACGCACUGCACCUGCCCAGACUCACUGCCUCUGAGUCUCAGUGCUCCUGGCUCAGAAACGGCCUCUCCUUUCCCUCUUUCCUCACUACCCUUUGGUUUGGACAAUCCAAGGGGUGGGAGAACCCAGCGGGUGCCCCUAUGGGGUGCUGCCACGUGCCAGGCUCAGGCACGCUGCCCAUCCCUCCUUCCCGAGCUGCUAAAGGUACCCUCUGCAGACCACAGCCCCCAGCUUCCUUCCGACUCACCAUAGCACCCUGCUUGCUCCAGUCCUCACCAAGCUGCAAAUGCCACAGAAUUACAGUUCUUCAGGAAAACAGUUCUUGCAUGAGAGCCCCAAAUAAGCACCUUGCACCAGACAGCGAUAUAUUUAAGCUGUGCUGCUGAAGGGUUAGCACUCACAGCAGCCUCUAAUUCAUGUGCCGUGCCGGAGAUGGGGUGGGUGCUGUGUCGGGAGGGUGAGCCCAGGUCCUGUGCUCACUGCUGCACAGCAGAGCUCUCUGCAGGGCCUCUGGUGAGGGUGUGCAGUGCUGCUCCCAGCACAGGGCUGCUCCCAGGGCACCGGCACGCAGAGUGCUUCCAGGGAGCCCUGUGCUGGGGGAGAGCUGUGUGCUGACAGGGUUAAAGCUGCCACACAGAGUCAGUAAACGUAGGAAAACAAUUUUCCCCGUAUGCUAAGCGAAGCAGAUGAGAUGCACUCAGCUUCUAUUUAGGGCAGUGUCAAAAUUAGCAGCGGGCCAGAGAGGAACAUUGGCAAUGUGGGAGCAGAGAGGGGAGGGAGAAUCCCUUCUCACCUCCUCCCAGGUGCUGACCAAUGGAUCAGCAGCACAGACAGACCCUCCGGACCAUCAGCCUCUGAAACCACAACCUGAAUGAGCUUCAGCCAAGGAUGAACAGCAUCUAUCCCAG